rnacentral:rRNA from 1 species
AGAGUUUGAUCAUGGCUCAGAUUGAACGCUGGCGGCAUGCUUUACACAUGCAAGUCGAACGGCAGCACGGGGCAACCCUGGUGGCGAGUGGCGAACGGGUGAGUAAUAUAUCGGAACGUACCCGGAAAUGGGGGAUAACGUAGCGAAACUUGAGCUAAUACCGAAUGUGCCCUUCGGGGGAAAGAUUUAUCGCCAUUAGAGCGGCCCGCGUCUGAUUAGCUAGUUGGUGAGGUAAAGGCUCACCAAGGCUACGAUCAGUAGCUGGUCUGAGAGGAUGAUCAGCCACAUUGGGACUGAGACACGGCCCAAACUCCUACGGGAGGCAGCAGUGGGAAUCUUGCGCAAUGGGCGAAAGCCUGACGCAGCCAUGCCGCGUGAAUGAUGAAGGUCUUAGGAUUGUAAAAUUCUUCACCGGGGACGAUAAUGACGGUACCCGGAGAAGAAGCCCCGGCUAACUUCGUG